ACUUAAAUUGAAGAGUUUGAUCAUGGCUCAGAUUGAACGCUGGCGGCAGGCCUAACACAUGCAAGUCGAGCGGCAGCGGGAAAGUAGCUUGCUACUUUUGCCGGCGAGCGGCGGACGGGUGAGUAAUGCCUGGGGAUCUGCCYAGUCGAGGGGGAUAACAGUUGGAAACGACUGCUAAUACCGCAUACG
rnacentral:rRNA from 1 species